AGUGAACGCUGGCGGUAGGCCUAACACAUGCAAGUCGAACGGCAGCACAGUAAGAGCUUGCUCUUACGGGUGGCGAGUGGCGGACGGGUGAGGAAUACAUCGGAAUCUACUUUUUCGUGGGGGAUAACGUAGGGAAACUUACGCUAAUACCGCAUACGACCUACGGGUGAAAGCAGGGGAUCUUCGGACCUUGCGCGAUUGAAUGAGCCGAUGUCGGAUUAGCUAGUUGGCGGGGUAAAGGCCCACCAAGGCGACGACCCGUAGCUGGUCUGAGAGGAUGAUCAGCCACACUGGAACUGAGACACGGUCCAGACUCCUACGGGAGGCAGCAGUGGGGAAUAUUGGACAAUGGGCGCAAGCCUGAUCCAGCCAUACCGCGUGGGUGAAGAAGGCCUUCGGGUUGUAAGGCCCUUUUGUUGGGAAAGAAAAGCAGCAGGUUAAUACCCCGCUGUUCUGACGGUACCCAAAGAAUAAGCACCGGCUAACUUCGGG
rnacentral:rRNA from 1 species